AAGCAUAUCAAUAAGCGGAGGAAAAGAAACCAACAGGGAUUGCCCCAGUAGCGGCGAGUGAAGCGGCAAAAGCUCAGAUUUGGAAUCGCUUCGGCGAGUUGUGAAUUGCAGGUUGGCGCCUCUGCGGCGGCGGCGGUCCAAGUCCCUUGGAACAGGGCGCCAUUGAGGGUGAGAGCCCCGUGGGACCGUUUGCCUAUGCUCUGAGGCCCUUCUGACGAGUCGAGUUGUUUGGGAAUGCAGCUCUAAGCGGGUGGUAAAUUCCAUCUAAGGCUAAAUACUGGCGAGAGACCGAUAGCGAACAAGUACUGUGAAGGAAAGAUGAAAAGCACUUUGAAAAGAGAGUGAAACAGCACGUGAAAUUGUUGAAAGGGAAGGGUAUUGCGCCCGACAUGGAGCGUGCGCACCGCUGCCCCUCGUGGGCGGCGCUCUGGGCGUGCUCUGGGCCAGCAUCGGUUUUUGCCGCGGGAGAAGGGCGGCGGGCAUGUAGCUCUUCGGAGUGUUAUAGCCUGCCGCCGGCGCCGCGAGCGGGGACCGAGGACUGCGACUUUUGUCUCGGAUGCUGGCACAACGGCGCAACACCGC
rnacentral:rRNA from 1 species